rnacentral:lncRNA from 1 species
CUUGACAUUAAGAGUAUAUAGCGAUGGGCAAACUUCUUGAUAGCAACAAGACUACCUUUCUUUCACUCUUGUGCUGCUUCCUCAUCCUUGCAGCCUUCGGUAGGUAGCGUAGUUAGUUGAAUAUCUUUUUAUGUAUUUCUCUAGCAGCCAAAUAACAGUACCCCACCCCAGGGCUUGAUAUUUCUUACAGACACAAAAAGAACAGCCAAUUGACAUGCUACUUAUAUUGUAUUAUUUAUUUAUUUCUUUUCCAUUUUGAUUUAUUAAUACAAAAAACAUUGCUAUACAACAACGGUUGAAAUUUCACUUAUUCUUCACUGCCUUUUUUGCUAAACAUAUUUGACAUUAUAAUAAUUAAAAUGAAAGUAUUGUUUCUCACAUAGAAAGUACCAAAUUAUAUAUGAAUAGAACUACCCUAUGGGUUUUUAUGUCUAUUGAACCACCCACUGAAAAAUUACUUAAAGAUAUUAGAUAGAUUUUUAGCUUAUCCAGUCAAACGCAUUCUAUAUUUGUUAGCAUUUUUAUUACGGCAUUUGGCUUAACCUAAUCCAAUUUCUUGGCAGAGGUGCAAAUCGGGGAGGCAACAUGCAAAAGGCCAAGCAAAGGAUAUUGGAGAUGUGUCCCUGACCAGUGUAACUCAUACUGUAAGCAGUACGAAGGAGCUUACUAUGGUUCUUGUAUCAAGAAACACUGGGGUGGUUAUUAUUGCUAUUGCCACUACCACCGAUGCUGAAUGAGUUUCGUAACUUAAUAUGUGAUCACUUGGUGAUACUGAAACUGUAUAUGUAAUAUACACUAAAUAAAAGCUGCCCGUGUGUGAUUCUGAGCAGCAAUUACAGUAAUAUCACCAGUGAGUUGUUGCUGAACUGUUAUAUUACUGCUGUACUAAUAUAUAAUAUAUAAUAAUGUCAUAUUGGUGUAAUUUCGUGCCAUAGUAUAUAAAGAUAUUGUUACGCCUCAUGCAACAUGUUGG